GGAAGGGCUGCAGCUCAGUGGCAGAGCAUCUGCUUUGCAUGCAGAAGGUCCCAGGUUCAAUCCCCAGUAUCUCCA